AACGCACGAGACCUGCGGACCUGCGGAGGGAUCAUUUAUGAGCGAGCCUUCAUUGGCGAGCAUUAAUAUAUCCAACACACUGUGAACUGUGGACUAUCUCGAUAGCCCAAAUUUUUUACAAAAACUAUUGUGUAAUGAACGUAUUAUACUAUAAUCAAUAAAACUUUCAGCAAUGGAUCUCU
rnacentral:misc_RNA from 1 species